rnacentral:rRNA from 1 species
AUACGGAGGAUGCAAGCGUUAUCCGGAUUUAUUGGGUUUAAAGGGUGCGUAGGCGGAUGAUUAAGCGUGAGGUGAAAUGCCACUGCUCAACAGUGGAACUGCCUCGCGAACUGGUUGUCUUGAAUGCUCCUGCCGUGGGAGGAAUGUGUGGUGUAGCGGUGAAAUGCAUAGAGAUCACACAGAACACCGAUUGCGAAGGCAUCUCACGAAGGGGUGAUUGACGCUGAGGCACGAAAGCGUGGGGAUCAAACAGGAUUAGAUACCCUGGUAGUCCACGCAGUAAACGAUGAUAACUAACCGCUGGGUCGUAGUGAUUCAGUGGCCAAGCGAAAGCGAUAAGUUAUCCACCUGGGGAGUACGACCGCAGGGUUGAAACUCAAAUGAAUUGACGGGG